GAUGAACGCUGGCGGCGUGCCUAAUACAUGCAAGUCGAGCGAACAGAUAAGGAGCUUGCUCCUUUGACGUUAGCGGCGGACGGGUGAGGAACACGUGGGUAACCUACCUAUAAGACUGGGAUAACUUCGGGAAACCGGAGCUAAUACCGGAUAACAUUUGGAACCGCAUGGUUCUAAAGUGAAAGAUGGUUUUGCUAUCACUUAUAGAUGGACCCGCGCCGUAUUAGCUAGUUGGUAAGGUAACGGCUUACCAAGGCGACGAUACGUAGCCGACCUGAGAGGGUGAUCGGCCACACUGGAACUGAGACACGGUCCAGACUCCUACGGGAGGCAGCAGUAGGGAAUCUUCCGCAAUAGGCGAAAGCCUGACGGAGCAACGCCGCGUGAGUGAUGAAGGGUUUCGGCUCGUAAAACUCUGUUAUUAGGGAAGAACAAAUGUGUAAGUAACUGUGCACGUCUUGACGGUACCUAAUCAGAAAGCCACGGCUAACUACGUG
rnacentral:rRNA from 1 species